rnacentral:rRNA from 1 species
UUUUUAGAGUUUGAUUCCCUGCUCAGGACGAACGCUGGCGGCGUGCCUAAUACAUGCAAGUCGAACGCUUCUUUUCCCACCGGAGCUUGCUCCACCGGGAAAAGAGGAGUGGCGAACGGGUGAGUAACACGUGGGUAACCUGCCCAUCAGAAGGGGAUAACACUUGGAAACAGGUGCUAAUACCGUAUAACAAUCGAAACCGCAUGGUUUCGUUUUGAAAGGCGCUUUACGGUGCCGCUGAUGGAUGGACCCGCGGUGCAUUAGCUAGUUGGUGAGGUAACGGCUCACCAAGGCCACGAUGCAUAGCCGACCUGAGAGGGUGAUCGGCCACAUUGGGACUGAGACACGGCCCAAACUCCUACGGGAGGCAGCAGUAGGGAAUCUUCGGCAAUGGACGAAAGUCUGACCGAGCAACGCCGCGUGAGUGAAGAAGGUUUUCGGAUCGUAAAACUCUGUUGUUAGAGAAGAACAAGGGUGAGAGUAACUGUUCACCCCUUGACGGUAUCUAACCAGAAAGCCACGGCUAACUACGUGCCAGCAGCCGCGGUAAUACGUAGGUGGCAAGCGUUGUCCGGAUUUAUUGGGCGUAAAGCGAGCGCAGGCGGUUUCUUAAGUCUGAUGUGAAAGCCCCCGGCUCAACCGGGGAGGGUCAUUGGAAACUGGGAGACUUGAGUGCAGAAGAGGAGA